UACGAAGGGGGCUAGCGUUGCUCGGAAUCACUGGGCGUAAAGCGCACGUAGGCGGCUUUCUAAGUCAGGGGUGAAAUCCUGGAGCUCAACUCCAGAACUGCCUUUGAUACUGGAGAGCUUGAGUCCGGAAGAGGUGAGUGGAACUCCGAGUGUAGAGGUGAAAUUCGUAGAUAUUCGCAAGAACACCAGUGGCGAAGGCGGCUCACUGGCCCGGUACUGACGCUGAGGCACGAAGGCCAGGGGAGCAAACGGGG
rnacentral:rRNA from 1 species